UACGUAGGAGGCGAGCGUUGUCCGGAAUUACUGGGCGUAAAGGGUGCGCAGGCGGUCGGGUGUGUCAGAUGUGAAAUCCCGAGGCUUAACCUCGGAACUGCGUCUGAAACUACUCGACUAGAGUACUGGAGAGGGUAACGGAAUUCACGGUGUAGCAGUGAAAUGCGUAGAUAUCGUGAGGAACACCAGAGGCGAAGGCGGUUACCUGGACAGUUACUGACGCUCAGGCACGAAAGCAUGGGGAGCAAAAGGG
rnacentral:rRNA from 1 species